rnacentral:sRNA from 1 species
GCUGGUGUGUGUUGGUGUGGAGCUGUCAGAGCACUACAGUAUCCUGCCAUAUAAGUGUGUGGCUGUUAGUUCCCGGCUUGUGCAGUGCCUAAGUAUGCUGACUGCCUUACCUAUAUGGCAUCUCCUGUCAUUUGUUCCACAAAGCUUGUGCUGCUGCACUUUCACUGUGUCUUUUCUUUCCCUGCUAACGAGUGAGGUUUGGCUUAUAUUUGUUUUCUCCUUUCUUCUCCCCAGUGGACCGUAUCGUGGGUCUGGAUCAAGUCACUGGUAUGACUGAGACAGCUUUUGGCUCCGCAUAUAAAACCAAGAAGGGCAUGUUUCGUACCGUUGGGCAACUCUACAAAGAAUCUCUCACCAAGCUGAUGGCAACUCUCCGAAACACCAACCCUAACUUUGUUCGUUGUAUCAUUCCAAAUCACGAGAAGAGGGCUGGAAAAUUGGAUCCACACCUAGUCCUAGAUCAGCUUCGCUGUAAUGGUGUCCUGGAAGGGAUCCGAAUCUGUC